UGAGCAAUCUGCCCUUCUCAUCGGAAUAAGCGUUGGAAACGACGUCUAAUGCCGAAUACGACCUCCUUUCGCAUGAUCGGAGGUGGAAAGCUCCGGCGGAGAAGGAUGAGCUCGCGGCCUAUCAGCUAGUUGGUGUGGGUAAUGGCCCACAAGGCGACGACGAGUAGCCGGCCUGAGAGGGUGACCGGCCACACUGGGACUGAGACACGGCCCAGACCUCCGUAGGGACGG
rnacentral:rRNA from 1 species